rnacentral:lncRNA from 1 species
GCAGAAACAGCAUUUUUUAAGCAGAAACAGCAUUUUUUUACAGCAGAAACAGCAUUUUUACAGCAGAAACAGCAUUUUUACAGCAGAAACAGCAUUUUUUACAGCAGAAACAGAUAGAGAAACGUAAGAAGUAAUAAUCAACUCACAUCUGCUGUGGUAUUGUGAAUCAAGGACUGAGCAUACAUAGUUCUACAGGAUUAAUAUGAUUCUACAAAAAAUUGGAGAAUUCACAAUAUAACAGGCCAUUAUCCUAGCCUACAUGAGAAUGUAAGGAUUUUUACCAACUACCCAAAUUCAAGUAUAAAUCAGGAACAAUUACUGACAUGCAUGUAAAAAAUCUAGCAAGACAGGGAUUUUUAACAGCUACCCAAAGUUUGAAUUGUCCUUGAACUAUCAGUUUAAGAAACCUUUUUCCCUUUUCUACCAAUUUCUGACAAAAUCUGAAGUGUGUAACAGUUUAUACCAUGGUGCAAAGACUUGUUUCCCGAAUGUCUGGUUUGCCUUCCUAAUGAAUGCUUUUCUCCGGAAAAAACUGGAUUACUUUUAUCGCCAAGCAAAGGGUCAAGGACACAUAGAAGACGAGUGAUAAACAAACUUUUCCAAUUUCCUUCUUUCUCAUCAAUACGAAAUCAACAAACACAGAAGAAACUUCCUUUUUUUUAAAAAAAACAGCAGUUUUGCUUAUCUUUUGAGUAAACAAGAAAUGCAAUUAAGUAAAUAAAUCUAAAAGAAAUGGAAAUAAGAGAGAAAGAACACAUCUAGGAGGUUGAAGUAAGCAAUAGCAUAUCCUGGGUCACUUCCCAAGGGGCACCAAUAAUGACCUCAUCAACAUAGCGGCGGGCAAGUACACUAAGACUUCGCUCCUGCAGAUUCAUCAGACGACCGUAAUAUUAGGAUAAAAAUAAUAAUAAUAAUCUGAAAGCAAUCAAUUUGACAGCUGAACACAAAAAAUAAAUUACCAAAAACAGAAGAAACAGAUUAAAAUGCUACACAAAGCCUCUAUACUCUAACAUAAAUA